rnacentral:rRNA from 1 species
GUAGGUGGCAAGCGUUGUCCGGAAUUAUUGGGCGUAAAGCGCGCGCAGGCGGUCCUUUAAGUCUGAUGUGAAAGCCCACGGCUCAACCGUGGAGGGUCAUUGGAAACUGGGGGACUUGAGUACAGAAGAGGAAAGCGGAAUUCCAAGUGUAGCGGUGAAAUGCGUAGAGAUUUGGAGGAACACCAGUGGCGAGGGCGGCUUUCUGGUCUGUAACUGACGCUGAGGCGCGAAAGCGUGGGGAGCAAACAGGAUUAGAUACCCUGGUAGUCCACGCCGUAAACGAUGAGUGCUAAGUGUUAGGGGGUUUCCCGCCCCCUUAGUGCUGCAGCUAACGCAUUAAGCACUCCGCCUGGGGAGUACGGCCGCAAGGCUG